UAAGGAUUUAUAUUGGAGUCUCCGAUAUGCGUGCAAGUAAAAAUGAGAACUAAAUUUUCUUCUCCUCCUCCUCCGCGUGCCGCCAGACCCCAAUCUCUUCUUCUCCCAGCCGCGCGAGGACCCCACGUUCAGCCCAGCCGCUAACGCCCAGAUUCACGCCGGUCGCGGCGCGUCCCUCGUUAACGCCCAGCCGUAGCCGCCAGCCUAUGACGCCCGCCUCCAGCGCCCGCCGCCUUCCAGCGCCCGCCGCCCAGAUCCAAUCGACGUCGCCAGCUUCCAUUCGCGUACGCCUGGAGCCGAACAGCCGCGCAAGCCUCUUCCAGCUGCCGUUCACCGCCGGUCCUCGUGCGUUGUCGGCGAGAGCCUCCUUUUCUCGUGGAGUUCUUCGAAUUUUGUCGUUUCGGAUACGUUUCGGGUCUAUUCUUGUUUGAUUCUUUAGUGUCCAAUAAAUUUCUGAUCUAAUUUGAAUUACCCAUAAUGUUUUGAAGUUCGGAUCAAAAUUUUGAGGCGUUUUUCAAAACUAUCCAGCAGCUUCGACGGUGAGCUUUGAGCGUUUUCGACAUACUUUGUGGGAGGUCGUAAUUCUUGAUACUUUCAGUUUCGGCACUUAACUUGGAAGUGAGUUUGGAAUAAACCUCGUAUUGGGGAUUUAAUUCAAAGACCAAGCUAGGCUAAGAGGAACAAUACUUCACGCUUCUUUCGGGCAUAAAAAUUGAGAUACCUACCGUCGGUUCACCCUCAAACCUAAGUUGGUGUUAACAAUUGAUGGAGGGAGUGGAAGCUUAUGAUUAUGCCAUGGAAUAUCGUUACUUUGUACUCUUGCAAUGAUUGUUUGUUGGAUAAAUUGUGAGAAUGUACGGGCACCUAAACAUACUUUAUGAUCUUGAUUGUGUCAUUGUUAGCGUUUUAUCGUGAGUUUUCGGGUUCACACCUUAUGCCUAUAUUAUGAUGUUCCCUUGGGGUCACCAUAUAUAUCUAUGUCCCUUCAUAGUCACUACCUAUGGAAGCGUGUCCUCGAGUUCGCUCCUUAUAUUUAUGUCUAUACCUACGCCUACUAUGUGUGCCCUUAUGUCUAUGCACACUAUGUGUAGAUCACCUAGUGGGCCCAGUAAUGGGUCGUUCACCUAUUACUCAUCUUUUUCCUAUCAUAUUUUUAGGUAAAGGUAAAGAUAGACCGGAAAAUGCUAAAAUGGAUCCGUGACCCGGUCAUUUAGACACCAUUUGGACAUGUUAUCACUUCCGCCCUUAGGUUCAUUCGAUAGGGCUUG